rnacentral:rRNA from 1 species
UACGUAGGUCCCGAGCGUUAUCCGGAUUUAUUGGGCGUAAAGCGAGCGCAGGUGGUUUAUUAAGUCUGGUGUAAAAGGCAGUGGCUCAACCAUUGUAUGCAUUGGAAACUGGUAGACUUGAGUGCAGGAGAGGAGAGUGGAAUUCCAUGUGUAACGGUGAAAUGCGUAGAUAUAUGGAGGAACACCGGUGGCGAAAGCGGCUCUCUGGCCUGUAACUGACACUGAGGCUCGAAAGCGUGGGGAGCAAACAGG